rnacentral:rRNA from 1 species
UACGUAGGGUGCAAGCGUUGUCCGGAAUUAUUGGGCGUAAAGAGCUCGUAGGCGGUCUGUCGCGUCGGCUGUGAAAUCCCGAGGCUCAACCUCGGGUCUGCAGUCGAUACGGGCAAACUAGAGUAUUGCAGGGGAGACUGGAAUUCCUGGUGUAGCGGUGAAAUGCGCAGAUAUCAGGAGGAACACCGAUGGCGAAGGCAGAUCUCUGGGCCUUACCUGACGCUGAGGAGCGAAAGCUGGGGGAGCGAACAGG